UCCUCUGCCGAUCCAUACUGCGGAACUCCUAGCCGCUUGUUUUGCUCGCAGCCGGUCUGGGGCAAAGCUCAUCGGAACUGACAAUUCUGUCGUCCUCUCGCGGAAAUAUACAUCGUUUCCAUGGCUGCUAGGUUGUACUGCCAACUGGAUCCUUCGCGGGACGUCCUUUGUUUACGUCCCGUCGGCGCUGAAUCCCGCGGACGACCCCUCUCGGGGCCGCUUGGGACUCUCUCGUCCCCUUCUCCGUCUGCCGUUCCAGCCGACCACGGGGCGCACCUCUCUUUACGCGGUCUCCCCGUCUGUGCCUUCUCAUCUGCCGGUCCGUGUGC
rnacentral:misc_RNA from 1 species